GGUCAGCUAAUUAAGCUAUC
rnacentral:tRNA from 1 species